rnacentral:rRNA from 1 species
GACGAACGCUGGCGGCGUGCCUAAUACAUGCGAGUCGAGCGAACUUUUAAAAGCUUGCUUUUAAAAGUUAGCGGCGGACGGGUGAGUAACACGUGGGCAACCUACCUGUAAGACUGGAUAACUUCGGGAAACCGGAGCUAAUACCGGAUAAUUCUUUUCUACACAUGUAGAAAAGCUGAAAGACGGUUUCGGCUGUCACUUACAGAUGGGCCCGCGGCGCAUUAGCUAGUUGGUGAGGUAAUGGCUCACCAAGGCAACGAUGCGUAGCCGACCUGAGAGGGUGAUCGGCCACACUGGGACUGAGACACGGCCCAGACUCCUACGGGAGGCAGCAGUAGGGAAUCUUCCGCAAUGGACGAAAGUCUGACGGAGCAGCGCCGCGUGAGUGAUGAAGGUUUUCGGAUCGUAAAACUCUGUUGUUAGGGAAGAACAAGUACGAUAGUAACUGAUCGUACCUUGACGGUACCUAACCAGAAAGCCACGGCUAACUACGUGCCAGCCGCCGCUGUAAAAC